GAUGAACGCUAGCGGCAGGCCUAACACAUGCAAGUCGAGGGGUAUAGUUCUUCGGAACUAGAGACCGGCGCACGGGUGCGUAACGCGUAUGCAAUCUACCUUUUACAGGGGAAUAGCCCAGAGAAAUUUGGAUUAAUGCCCCAUAGUGUUAUAGAAUCGCAUGGUUUUAUAACUAAAGUUCCAACGGUAAAAGAUGAGCAUGCGUCCCAUUAGUUAGUUGGUAAGGUAACGGCUUACCAAGACAAUGAUGGGUAGGGGUCCUGAGAGGGAGAUCCCCCCACACUGGUACUGAGACACGGACCAGACUCCUACGGGAGGCAGCAGUGAGGAAUAUUGGACAAUGGGCGCAAGCCUGAUCCAGCCAUGCCGCGUGCAGGAAGACGGUCCUAUGGAUUGUAAACUGCUUUUUGACAGGAAGAAACACUCCCUCGUGAGGGAGCUUGACGGUACUGUAAGAAUAGGAUCGGCUAACUCCGUGCCAGCAG
rnacentral:rRNA from 1 species